ACUUAUAUGUGUAUAUAUAUAUAUAUAUAUAUAUAUGUAUAUUGAUUACUUGUUAGGAUAUGAUAAAAGUUACAGAUUCAACAAUUUAUGGUUUGAAAGUUUUUCUUGUCAAACUAACAAGCUGCGUAGUUACACUAUGUUUCCCCGAGUAAAAUUCUCGGACAGCCCCGAACACAGGCGAAGCCUAGCUCUUUGUUUUCGCCAUGGACGCAGGAGACCUAGUGGUUGAACACGACUCUAUGGACGAUCUCAGCAGAAACCGAUUCAGACAGACUCUCCACAAUCGCCGAAGCCGAGGGCUAGUCUCUUCCCAUUUCAAUCCAUUCUCGAGAAUUUCUGGUUGAAUUUUACCAUCUGCGUUGAUUGUUUCCUGUUUCCUGUUUCCCUUGGCUUCCGUUAUCUCGACCAACAUUUAUUACCUAAAAUGUUCUAAUUAGAUUUUGGGGGUUUCAGUUUCAUUUGUUGAAUUUGAUGAUUCGGUUCUAAUUAGUAACAUAGCUUGCUUGAAGUUGAUUUGAGUUUUGUUAUAGCAGCAAUGGAAUGGAGAUAGCAUGACCUGCCUUCAAAUCAAAUAUGCAGGUAAUGGAAAAUCAGUUUUUCAAUUUUUUUAAAAAAAAAGGUUUGAGACUAACAAUGCAAGCCUCAAAGACCCACAACAAGAAAACACAGAUAAUGUUUUUAAACUGCUUAGCUAAUUGUGAGCAGAUGAUGAGAGUAUAAGAGAGUAAGCACAUGUCGAUGCAAUCAUUGCUGUAAUCACAAACUAUAAUGUUGGAGAAUCUGAUGUUCGCUGCCUUCUUGAAUCUAGAACUUGUUCAUCAUUAGUGUAUUGACUCUGAUUCGCUCCCACUUGGUCCUGCUCAGUUCGCUCUCUAUUGCGAGUCUAUACUUUGAGCAUCUGGUCUUGCUUACUGAGCAUCUGAUCCAACCAGCUUAACAUCUGCUUCAAAAUUUUGAUUACUGCAUCACUAGCAUUUCUAGCUUCUGGUGGAACUUGUGAUGAUUGUGAUGAUGUUGAUGCACCUGGGAAGUUUUGAGCAGGAUCCAUUACUAACAUAAGCAAACAUGAGCAAAAAGAUUUGUAGUUUUAGAAGCACCAAACAGGGCAGAGGAUGAGUGUAAUUACAGAGAGAAAGGGGCAGCUGCAGAGAGAUUAAGGCAUCUGCAGGAAGCUGAGAUGAUGAGGAUGCACCAGUGUCUCCCUGGAAGAUUUGAGAAGUCCCCAUUGCUAACAAAAUCACAAGGAAAACAAUGAUAAGUUCUAAUUAGUAUGGUGUAAUACAAAAAUAUAAUAAAUCGUAGAUGACAUCUUUAUAAUAUUAAUUGUAGAUGACAUCUUUAUAAUAUUAUCUGAAAAAUCAUUUCUUAUGAGUUGUGUUCACACUAAUCUAGCAAUCCCAAUUAAUGUGAAGAGUUGU